UACGUAGGGAGCAAGCGUUGUUCGGAAUUACUGGGCGUAAAGCGCACGUAGGCGGACAUUUAAGUCAGGGGUGAAAUCCCAGAGCUCAACUCUGGAACUGCCUUUGAUACUGGGUGUCUUGAGUAUGGAAGAGGUGAGUGGAAUUCCGAGUGUAGAGGUGAAAUUCGUAGAUAUUCGGAGGAACACCAGUGGCGAAGGCGGCUCACUGGUCCAUUACUGACGCUGAGGUGCGAAAGCGUGGGGAGCAAACAGG
rnacentral:rRNA from 1 species